rnacentral:rRNA from 1 species
CCUACGGGAGGCAGCAGUAGGGGAUAUUGGUCAAUGGGGGAAACCCUGAACCAGCAACGCCGCGUGAGGGAAGACGGUUUUCGGAUUGUAAACCCCUGUUGUCAGAGAAGAUUAUGACGGUAGCUAACGAAUAAGCCCCGGCUAACUCCGUGCCAGCCGCCGCGGUAAUACGUAGGGUGCGAGCGUUAUCCGGAUUGACUGGGCGUAAAGCGUGCGUAGGCGGGUUAGCAAGUCAGAAGUGAAAUCCAUGGGCUUAACCAAAGAACUGCAUUUGAAACUGUCGAGCUUGAGUGUGGGAGAGGUAGGCGGAAUUCUCGGUGUAGGGGUGAAAUGCGUAGAGAUCAGGAGGAAAACCAGUGGCGAAGGCGACCUGCUGGACUUUAACUGACGCUGAGGCACGAAAGCGUGGGUAGCAAACAGGAUUAGAUACCCGAGUAGUC